GGCCUAUUAGCUCAAAAGGGUAGAGCAACGUGCAUUUGCGCACGAAAGAUGUAGGUUCAAUCCCUACAUAGGUCU
rnacentral:tRNA from 1 species